rnacentral:lncRNA from 1 species
UCGAUCAGGCUGCACGAUAAUGGCCUUCUCCCUUUUGAGUAAAAGGGAGUACCCAACAGAGCUGUAAUCAUUGAAAAUUGGCCCGGUAAACAAGUAUGCAUCAGCAGACUCGACGAUCUCGGCACAGAAGGCAGUACUGACAGCACCCCAGUAAGUUCCAAUGAAAUGAGGAUGGUGCUCAGGUACCAAACCUUUCGCCGAUGGCAUCACAGCCAAGGCAUAGCCACAAGCAUCAGCAAGCUCCACAAAUGCAUGACAAGCCUUUGCAACUCGCAUUUUAGGCCCACCAACA